rnacentral:rRNA from 1 species
AGAGUUUGAUCCUGGCUCAGAACGAACGCUGGCGGCGUGCUUAACACAUGCAAGUCGCGUGCGCAGUUUUCUGUAGCAAUACAGGGGAUAGGCGCACGGCGCACGGGUGCGUAACACGUGGGCAAUCUGCCCUCCGAUGGGGAAUAACCCCGCGAAAGCGGGGCUAAUACCGCAUAACAUUCUUUGGACGAUGGUCUGGAGAUUCAAAGCAGUAAUGCGUCGGAGGAGGAGCCCGCGCCCGAUUAGCUAGUUGGUGAGGUAACGGCUCACCAAGGCAAUGAUCGGUAGCUGGUCUGAGAGGAUGAUCAGCCACACUGGAACUGAGACACGGUCCAGACUCCUACGGGAGGCAGCAGUGGGGAAUCUUGCACAAUGGGCGAAAGCCUGAUGCAGCGACGCCGCGUGGGGGAUGAAGCUUUUCGGAGUGUAAACCCCUUUCGCCUGGGACGAAUGCCUCGCAAGAGGAGUGACGGUACCAGGAUAAGAAGCCCCGGCUAACUACGUGCCAGCAGCCGCGGUAAGACGUAGGGGGCCAGCGUUGUUCGGAAUUACUGGGUGUAAAGGGUUCGUAGGCGGUGUGGCAAGUUGGGAGUGAAAUCUCUGGGCUCAACCCAGAGGCUGCUUCCAAAACUGCUGUGCUUGAGUGUGAGAGAGGCUCGUGGAAUUGCAGGUGUAGCGGUGAAAUGCGUAGAUAUCUGCAGGAACACCCGUGGCGAAAGCGGCGAGCUGGAUCACUACUGACGCUGAGGAACGAAAGCUAGGGGAGCAAACAGGAUUAGAUACCCUGGUAGUCCUAGCCCUAAACGAUCAGGACUUGGGGUGCCGCCCGUUCGGGCGUCGUCCCGGAGCUAACGCGUUAAGUCCUGCACCUGGGGAGUACGGUCGCAAGACUGAAACUCAAAGGAAUUGACGGGGGCCCGCACAAGCGGUGGAACAUGUGGUUUAAUUCGUUGAUACGCGAGGAACCUUACCUGGGCUUAAAUGUAGACUGCAUAAUGGGGAAACUCAUUUUUCUUUACAGACUGUUUACAAGGUGCUGCAUGGUUGUCGUCAGCUCGUGCCGUGAGGUGUCGGGUUAAGUCCCAUAACGAGCGCAACCCUUAUCGUUAGUUGCCAUCGGGUCAAGCCGGGGACUCUAGCGAAACUGCCACCGUAAGGUGAGAGGAAGGUGGGGAUGACGUCAAAUCAGCACGGCCCUUAUGUCCAGGGCUACACACGUGCUACAAUGGUCGGUACAAACCGUCGCAAAGCCGCAAGGUGGAGCUAAUCGGAAAAAGCCGGCCUCAGUUCGGAUUGAAGUCUGCAACUCGACUUCAUGAAGCUGGAAUCGCUAGUAAUCGCAGAUCAGAACGCUGCGGUGAAUACGUUCCCGGGCCUUGUACACACCGCCCGUCACAUCACGAAAGUGGGCCGUACUAGAAGUCGGUGCGCUAACCCGCAAGGGGAGUAGCCGCCCAAGGUACAGCUCAUGAUUGGGGUGAAGUCGUAACAAGGUAACC